rnacentral:rRNA from 1 species
UACGGAGGGGGCUAGCGUUGUUCGGAAUUACUGGGCGUAAAGCGCACGUAGGCGGCUUUGUAAGUUAGAGGUGAAAGCCCAGGGCUUAACCCUGGAAUUGCCUUUAAGACUGCAUCGCUAGAAUCGUGGAGAGGUGAGUGGAAUUCCGAGUGUAGAGGUGAAAUUCGUAGAUAUUCGGCGGAACACCAGUGGCGAAGGCGACUCACUGGCCCGAUACUGACGCUGAUGCGCGAAAGCGUGGGGAGCAAACAGG